rnacentral:rRNA from 1 species
UACGGGAGGCAGCAGGGGGGAAUAUUGGACAAUGGGCGAAAGCCUGAUCCAGCCAUGCCGCAUGAGUGAAGAAGGCCUUCGGGUUGUAAAGCUCUUUUAGUGAGAAAGAUAAUGACGGUACUCACAGAAGAAGUCCUGGCUAACUCCGUGCCAGCAGCCGCGGUAAUACGGAGAGGGCUAGCGUUAUUCGGAAUUAUUGGGCGUAAAGAGCGCGUAGGCUGAUUAGUAGUUAAAAGUGAAAUCCCAAAGCUUAACUUUGGAAUUGCUUUUUAAAACUGCUAGUCUAGAGAUUGAAAGAGGAUAGAGGAAUUCCUAGUGUAGAGGUGAAAUUCGUAAAUAUUAGGAGGAACACCAGUGGCGAAGGCGUCUAUCUGGUUCAAAUCUGACGCUGAGGCGCGAAGGGCGUGGGGAGCAAACAGGGAUUUAGAUACC